AAAUUGAUAAAACUGUCCAGAUGCAAGAAAAAAUACAGAAACCAACACAGCAAGUCCCUGACUUGCGAAUGUUAGAGUUGCAAACCUUCACAGGUGUACUGUGUAAGACUCACUUUGUCUGAUGACAAACGAAUCCAACUUACGAACAUUCUCCUAGAACGGAACUCGGGGACUGAGCUGCAUCAGGGAAAAGAAGGACGGAAACCUGUUACGUUCUCAUAGUCAAGGUGACAGGCUGUGUAUGAUGAGUACUGCUGAAAAUUGUGAAAAUGGAGAAGAAAAGAAAUAUCACCUGCUACAAGGUGUUCAAAACGCGGAAAGAUCAGGAAGCUCUCCAGGACCUGAUCUCCCAGGGAGGGUGCCGUGCACUGGGCGCCAGACAGACAGACGUCGGGCAGUGCCCAAUACCUCCAGGCAGCCUUGGCUGCACCCAGGCCACGGAGAGGCGAGACAUGCCCACCUAGAAGACACCAUGAAAGAGCAAUGAAGACUACAAACCACUGGGCAUGGGCUCCCACCUGGUAUCUCAGCUACUGAGGAGGCUGGAGCAGGAGGAUCCCACGUUCUAGGUUGGCCUGGCAACUCAGAGAGACCUGUCUCAAGACGAACAUGAAGAAGCCUGGGUCUGUGGCUCAGUGGUAGAGCACUGGCCUAACCUCCGUGAGGCCUGAGUUCCAUCCCCAGCACUGAAAAAAAUAUAUGUAUAUGAGCAAACCAGAUCUAUAUGGAAAAAAUCCUGAUGCGUUCCCAAGGGACAGAGGGUCCAGUGGCAGAAAAGAAUGUUUGUCUCGG
ensembl:lncRNA